GGGUGGCAGCAGUGGGGAAUAUUGCACAAUGGGCGAAAGCCUGAUGCAGCAACGCCGCGUGAGUGAUGAAGGUCUUCGGAUUGUAAAGCUCUGUCUUUGGGGACGAUAAUGACGGUACCCAAGGAGGAAGCCACGGCUAACUACGUGCCAGCAGCCGCGGUAAUACGUAGGUGGCAAGCGUUGUCCGGAUUUACUGGGCGUAAAGGAUGCGUAGGCGGAUUUUUAAGUGGGAUGUGAAAUACCCGAGCUCAACUUGGGUGCUGCAUUCCAAACUGGAAGUCUAGAGUGUGGGAGAGGAUAGUGGAAUUCCUAGUGUAGCGGUGAAAUGCGUAGAGAUUAGGAAGAACACCAGUGGCGAAGGCGACUAUCUGGACCAUAACUGACGCUGAGGCAUGAAAGCGUGGGGAGCAAACAGGAUUAGAUACCCCAGUAGUCU
rnacentral:rRNA from 1 species